CUUAUACCUUACAUUAACAAACACGGAGGUCAUUUUUUUUCGGUUUAAAUAGAAAUGUGCUACGUGUGUGUGAAAAGUGAUCAGUGCGAUUGAUGUAUCAAAAAGGUUGUGAGCUUAGUGGUGUGGGUGAAUUAAUACAUAAAUAUGACGGAAGUCUUCGGAUCGUGGAACAAGCCCGAGGGCGAUGGAGAGGUGGAGGAGACCGAAGAAACCGUGGAAACGAUCACCACCACCACCACCAAGACAAAAAGGACAGUUCCACAAAAAUCGUCGUCGACGAAGACUACGACGAUGACGACGCCGGCCAAGCUGUUUGGACGCGAUUUGUCCAACUACGAUGAAGUGGACGUCGAUGAGCUAUUGGCUAAGCUGUCACAAGAGGAGCUGACUAUGCUCGCCAAGGAGGUUGAUCCUGAUGACAACUUCCUGCCCCCCGAUCAGCGCAACAAUUACGACUGUGAGAAGGACCCCACGGGACCCCUGAAUCGCAAGAAGUUAAUCGAGCACAUCAACAAACAGGCGCUCGAGACCCCAGACCGGCCCGAGGUCAAACCUUACGUGGCUGGUGUUGUCAGAGGGAAGAAGUGGAUCCCGCCGCCCCCGCCCGAACGGACGCGUGAAGCGGAUGAACAGAUCUCCAUCGACCUCGGCGAUGAGUACGAGCAGGCGUUGGGCACCGCGUCGCAGGAAGAAAUCAUUGACUUGGCUGCCAUUCUCGGCUUCCAUUCGAUGAUGAACCAGGACCAGUACCACGCGUCACUACUCAACAAGGGCCAGCCCGUCGGCCUCGGCUGGGAUGGCAUCACCAAAGCUACCAAGCAAAAGGUGUACCCCAUGGACCCCCCCAACGACACGGACCCGGACUCGACCAUCAAGAGCGUGCAGGACAACGACCAGAAGCUCACUGAUCUCAAUUGGAAUAAUAUUAAGAAUAUAAGCGACGAGAAAUUCGACAAGCUAUUCGAAGGCCUAAAGACCAACACACACCUCGAGGUCCUGAGCCUCGUGAACGUCGGCCUCACGGACCGCUCCGCUGCCCUAUUGGCCGCAGCCUUAGAUGCCAACACCGCGCUGCGAGUCGUCAACGUGGAGACCAACUUCAUCAGCCCCACUGGGGUCGUCCAGUUGGUCAAGGCGUUGCUGACUAAUAAUACUGUUGAGGAGUUCCGUGCCUCCAACCAGCGGUCGACGGUGCUUGGCAAUAAGAUCGAGAUGGAGAUAACGGCGCUGGUGGAACAGAACCCGACGCUGCUGCGGCUCGGCCUCCACCUCGAGUAUAGCGACGCGCGCCAUCGCGUCGCCUCGCAUCUGCAGCGCAACAUCGACCGGAAUUGCCGAUUACAAAAGCGCGCGAGCGCAUCCCUAAGCCUCCGGCUGCCGCGCGGGCCGCCCCCCGGCGUGGGGGUCGACUCCACCUUCUUCAACAUGACCCCGCCCAGCGCCGAGGCUGCCACGCCCACUGACCCCCCAGUCACCGAAACCGUAGAGGGGUCCGUCACUGUCGAAGCGAAACCCCCCGAUUUCGACACCUCGGAGCGAACCAUACCCGUCGAUUUGGAGUCUAACGAAGACAGAUUUGUGAGGGCGGAACGACCCGACUUUAACCCCAAUCCCCACUCCCGAGAGGGGAGCGUAGAACUGAAUGAUAAUUUUUAGAGAAAUGGCCACAAAAAUCGUACGCCAGCAGCGACGGAGCAAGACCAGCAACUAGAACCUUGAUCGAACCUUUUUGGUGGGCGCGUCCGCCGCGUGUCGCAGUUCACCCGGAGCCGCAGCUACGUGGUGGGCUGGAUCCCCUGAACUUGCUGCCACUGCCUACCUGCGCUCGCUGGCUACUAGGACCCAAGUGCUUGUGCGAAACAAUUCUUUUUCA